GGGUUGUGGCUCAGUGGUAGAACACUUGCCUAGCAUGUGUGAGGUACUGGGUUCGCUUCUCAGCACCCA
rnacentral:tRNA from 1 species